CACGCAGGCGGCCAACCAAGUCUGACGUGAAAGCUCCUGGCUUAACUGGGAGAGGUCGUUGGAAACUGAUUGGCUUGAGGCAAUGAGAGGGGUACGGAAUUCCAGGUGUAGUGGUGGAAUGCGUAGAUAUCUGGAGGAACAUCAGUGGCGAAAGCGGUACCCUGGCAUUGGCCUGACGCUCAUGUGCGAAAGCGUGGGGAGCGAACG
rnacentral:rRNA from 1 species